CAUCCAUCAAUGUAACUGGUC
rnacentral:siRNA from 1 species